rnacentral:lncRNA from 1 species
CUGUUCUCAGGCCACUCUCUGGAACAAACACAUAUUUGAAUUCCUUCCAACCAACCAAACAAACAAACAAAAAUAAUAACGUUCUGUCUCUCCACCAUGUUCCUCCCUGAAGAAGGAAUAGAUACUAUUACUCUCUCCCCCUUGCCAUACAUAAGAGGCAGUCUUCUUGAAAGAGAAAUAAUCUUUGGGGACUAUGGUUAAAAGCAUCCAUUUUGGCCUUAGACAGACCUAUGUAAAGUCCUGGCUCCAUAAUUGAGCAUGUUAUUCUCUCCAGGUCUUGCUUCUUUCUUAACUAAAAGGGGAAGAGCCCCACAGUUAUACUACAAGAACACAGUGAGAUGAGGCAGUUGUAGAACUAAGUAAACAGAAAGGACUGUAGAGGAUAAAAUGGUAACGAGUCUCUGUACAGCCCAGGAAAAGGAUAAGAAGGAAGGGUUUGGAGUUAAAGCAAACUCAUGAAGGACUCCUAGACCUCUAGAUGCGCCAACAAGGGACUGUUGCUCAGGCAUCAGGAAUCAACAGAAGGUGACUGAACAGCCACUGACACAGGCCCUACCCGUAGCUUCUACAUCCCUCUUCCAUCACAGCACAAGCACACAGAACCCUAAUUGGUAGUGCCAGAGACGCAGCAGGUACUCAGAGAUGGCUUACUUCCUGCAUCCAGAAAGCUGAGCACAUGGUGUCCAAGGGCAGGGGAGAUGUAUCCAUGACUAGAUGUUCAGCGUAUUUGGGAGAGAACCCAAGGGGGCACAUUCAGAGUAGGCUACUAUAACAGGAAGACUGCUCCUUAAAGCAGACCACACCCUGACGUCUCCUGGGUGGUGAUGAGUGGGUUUGUAUAUGUGGGCUCCCUAGGAAUUCUCAGUGUCCAUAUACAGUCCACAGUCAUCAUAUUGAUAUAAUUAGGUGCCCUAUGUGAGAUUACUCUUUUCGUCUUUAGCAACAGCAAUUUUAGCAUCUUUUUAUGUGGACAGGGACAAAACAUCACCUUGGGUCAGAUCUCAAGAAGGCCCUUUGGGUUUCACAGAUGAAUGACAGGCAACCCCAGAGCACAUCAUUUGCCUCUCAGUCUGCCAAGAGAGACCUCUAGCUAUGCUUGAUACAGGUAUAGAAAAGAGGAGAUGGAAUUUGUGAUACACUAUGAAAUGGAUCACCAAGGGAAAAUUUUCACAAAUAGAAUGGAUUGCGGUUCCUGAAGGUACCAAGCAUUAAAAAAAGUUUUGUGACUUAACCAAGAUCACAGCUAGUUCUUGCCAAUGGGACCCAGGUCUCCUGACAACUAGACAAACUCAUUCCACUAGACCUUACUGACUUGCAGUAAUUUUUUUGCCCUAAAAUGGAAAUUCUUAUUUUGGCAUUCAUUCAACUGAAGAGAUAUAUAGAUAUACAGGUGGCCUUAUAUUUAAGUGCAGGAUGCUCCACUGUCUUUUCCAAAACUCAAGCAAUAUUUCUCAUUUCCUUUAUUUAUUUAUUUUAUUUAUUUAUUUAUUCUUUCAUUCAUUUCACAGAUGUAUUGAGCUACUGCUACAUGCCUGACCUGGUUCUAAUUUCUGGGGAUAGAAAUGAUCCUUUCUUAACAGAACUGGCAUUAAACAAAUAAUUACAAUUCCUACCAAGUGGGAAAAUACAGGAUCCGAUAGGGAGUAAACAAAGGGAGUUCAGAAAAGUCCUAUCAGGAAAGUCACCUUUAAGAUGUAAAGAUGCCCAGUAGUUAAGUGAUAAAUAGGGACACCUAUGUUUCUGCAAGACAACACAGCAUGUUCAGGAAACUGAAGGAAGACUUGAUGGCUACACCAAGUGAACAAAAAGCAGAGCAUUUGAAGAAGGUGGACAGUUUUGUGGGGCAGGAAUACUGAGUGUCCCACAC